rnacentral:misc_RNA from 1 species
AAGUCGUAACAAGGUUUCCGUAGGUGAACCUGCGGAAGGAUCAUUAACACAAUCUAAACAUGGUAUCCAAAAUCCUUUUGGAUAUUCACCCCAUUUCGUGAACUCUGUUGGGAGGUGCUUCAUAGCCCUUUUUCAAAAGAAAAGGGCUCCCUGACUGCCUCCGCUUUUCUUUCAUCUACUUUUUUUUAUAAACCCAAUUGAACAACUGACUGAACCUUGUUUUUUCAGAAAUGAAAAGACUAAACUAAGAAAAUUGAAAAACAACUCUUAGCAACGGAUAUCUUGGCUCUCGUAACGAUGAAAAACGCAGC